rnacentral:rRNA from 1 species
AGUUUGAUCCUGGCUCAGGACGAACGCUGGCGGCGCGCCUAACACAUGCAAGUCGAACGAGAGAUGAGGAGCUUGCUCUUCAAAUCGAGUGGCGAACGGGUGAGUAACGCGUGAGGAACCUGCCUCAAAGAGGGGGACAACAGUUGGAAACGACUGCUAAUACCGCAUAAGCCCACGGCUCGGCAUCGAGCAGAGGGAAAAGGAGCAAUCCGCUUUGAGAUGGCCUCGCGUCCGAUUAGCUGGUUGGUGAGGUAACGGCCCACCAAGGCGACGAUCGGUAGCCGGACUGAGAGGUUGAACGGCCACAUUGGGACUGAGACACGGCCCAGACUCCUACGGGAGGCAGCAGUGGGGAAUAUUGCACAAUGGGGGAAACCCUGAUGCAGCGACGCCGCGUGGAGGAAGAAGGCCUUCGGAUUGUAAACUCCUGUUGUUGAGGAAGAUAAUGACGGUACUCAACAAGGAAGUGACGGCUAACUACGUGCCAGCAGCCGCGGUAAAACGUAUGUCACAAGCGUUGUCCGGAAUGACUGGGUGUAAAGGGAGCGCAUGCGGGAGAACAAGUUGGAAGUGAAAUCCAUGGGCUCAACCCAUGAACUGCUUUCAAAACUGUUUCUCUUGAGCAGUGCAGAGGUAGGCGGAAUUCCCGGUGUAGCGGUGGAAUGCGUAGAUAUCGGAGGAACACCAGUGGCGAAGGCGGCCUACUGGGCACCAACUGACGCUGAGGCUCGAAAGUGUGGGUAGCAAACAGGAUUAGAUACCCUGGUAGUCCACACCGUAAACGAUGAUUACUAGGUGUUGGAGGAUUGACCCCUUCAGUGCCGCAGUUAACACAAUAAGUAAUCCACCUGGGGAGUACGACCGCAAGGUUGAAACUCAAAGGAAUUGACGGGGGCCCGCACAAGCAGUGGAGUAUGUGGUUUAAUUCGACGCAACGCGAAGAACCUUACCAAGUCUUGACAUCCCUUGACGAACAUAGAAAUAUGUUUUCUCUUCGGAGCAAGGAGACAGGUGGUGCAUGGUUGUCGUCAGCUCGUGUCGUGAGAUGUUGGGUUAAGUCCCGCAACGAGCGCAACCCUUAUGGUCAGUUACUACGCAAGAGGACUCUGGCCAGACUGCCGUUGACAAAACGGAGGAAGGUGGGGAUGACGUCAAAUCAUCAUGCCCUUUAUGACUUGGGCUACACACGUACUACAAUGGCGUUAAACAAAGAGAAGCAAGACCGCGAGGUGGAGCAAAACUCAGAAACAACGUCCCAGUUCGGACUGCAGGCUGCAACUCGCCUGCACGAAGUCGGAAUUGCUAGUAAUCGUGGAUCAGCAUGCCACGGUGAAUAUGUUCCCGGGCCUUGACACACCGCCCGUCA